CGUCAGGACGAACGCUGGCGGCAUGCCUAACACAUGCAAGUCGAACGGACAUAACCAAGUUAUAGCGAUAUAAUGCGGGUAUGUUAGUGGCGAACGGGUGAGUAACACGUGAGCAACCUGCCCUGUACAACGGGAUAACAGUUGGAAACGACUGCUAAUACGGUAUAAGACCACACUGCGGCAUCGCAGAGGGGUAAAAGUGAAUUAGCGGUACAGGAUGGGCUCGCGUCCAAUUAGCUAGUUGGUGAGGUAACGGCUCACAAAGGCGACGAUUGGUAGCCGACCUGAGAGGGUGAUCGGCCACACUGGAACUGAGACACGGUCCAGACUCCUACGGGAGGCAGCAGUGGGGAAUAUUGGGCAAUGGAGGAAAAACCUCUUACCCAGCAAUGCCGCGUGAAGGAAGAAGGUCUUCGGAUUGUAAACUUCUUUUAUUGGGGACGAAUAAAUGACGGUACCCGAUGAAUAAGCCCCAGCUAACUAUGUGCCAGCCGCAGC
rnacentral:rRNA from 1 species